rnacentral:rRNA from 1 species
CAGUCGCCACGGUAAUACAGAGGGUGCGAGCGUUAAUCGGAUUUACUGGGCGUAAAGCGUGCGUAGGCGGCUUUUUAAGUCGGAUGUGAAAUCCCUGAGCUUAACUUAGGAAUUGCAUUCGAUACUGGGAGGCUAGAGUAUGGGAGAGGAUGGUAGAAUUCCAGGUGUAGCGGUGAAAUGCGUAGAGAUCUGGAGGAAUACCGAUGGCGAAGGCAGCCAUCUGGCCUAAUACUGACGCUGAGGUACGAAAGCAUGGGGAGCAAACAGGAUUAGAUACCCCUGUAGUCCCUGUCUCUUAUAC